rnacentral:rRNA from 1 species
CACAGAGGGGGCAAGCGUUGUUCGGAAUUACUGGGCGUAAAGGGCGCGUAGGCGGCCUGCUAAGUCGAACGUGAAAUCCCCGAGCUCAACUCGGGAACUGCGUCCGAUACUGGCAGGCUUGAAUCCGGGAGAGGGAUGCGGAAUUCCAGGUGUAGCGGUGAAAUGCGUAGAUAUCUGGAGGAACACCUGAGGUGAAGACGGGUUGCUGGGCUGACACUGACGCUGAGGCGCGAAAGCUAGGGUAGCAAACGGG